GAUUGUUUCCUGGUGCCAAUAA
rnacentral:miRNA from 1 species